rnacentral:rRNA from 1 species
CCUACGGGGUGCUGCAGUAGGGAAUCUUCGGCAAUGGGCGAAAGCCUGACCGAGCAACGCCGCGUGAAUGAAGAAGGCCUUCGGGUUGUAAAAUUCUGUUAUAAGGGAAGAAAGGUGAUAGGAGGAAAUGACUAUCAAUUGACGGUACCUUAUGAGAAAGCCACGGCUAACUACGUGCCAGCAGCCGCGGUAAUACGUAGGGGGCAAGCGUUAUCCGGAAUUAUUGGGCGUAAAGAGCGCGCAGGUGGUUAAUGAAGUCUGAUGUGAAAGCCCACGGCUUAACCGUGGAGGGUCAUUGGAAACUGGUUGACUUGAGUGCAGAAGAGGGAAGUGGAAUGCCAUGUGUAGCGGUGAAAUGCGUAGAGAUAUGGAGGAACACCAGUGGCGAAGGCAGCUCACUGGACUGCAACUGACACUGAGGCUCGAAAGUGUGGGUAUCAAACAGGAUUAGAUACCCCGGUAGUC